UGCCGCGUGUGUGAAGAAGGUCUUCGGAUUGUAAAGCACUUUAAGUUGGGAGGAAGGGCAGUUACCUAAUACGUGAUUGUUUUGACGUUACCGACAGAAUAAGCACCGGCUAACUCUGUGCCAGCAGCCGCGGUAAUACAGAGGGUGCAAGCGUUAAUCGGAAUUACUGGGCGUAAAGCGCGCGUANGUGGUUUGUUAAGUUGGAUGUGAAAUCCCCGGGCUCAACCUGGGAACUGCAUCCAAAACUGGCAAGCUAGAGUAUGGUAAAGGGUGGUGGAAUUUCCUGUGUAGCGGUGAAAUGCGUAAAUAUAGGAAGGAACACCAGUGGCGAAGGCGACCACCUGGACUGAUACUGACACUGAGGUGCGAAAGCGUGGGGAGCAAACAGGAUUAAAUACCCUGGUAGUCCACGCCGUAAACGAUGUCAACUAGCCGUUGGGAGCCUUGAGCUCUUACUGGCGCAGCUAACGC
rnacentral:rRNA from 1 species